rnacentral:misc_RNA from 1 species
AACGCACAUUGCGCCCGCCAGUAUUCUGGCGGGCAUGCCUGUCCGAGCGUCAUUUCGACCAUCAAGCCCCCGGCUUGUGUUGGGGACCUGCGGCACACCCGCAGGCCCUGAAAACCAGUGGCGGGCUCGCUGUCCACACCGAGCGUAGUAGCAUUUUUUGUCUCGCUCAGGGCGUGCGGCGGGUUCCGGCCGUGAAAGCCACCUUCUCGAAGGUACCCAAAGGUUGACCUCGGAUCAGGUAGGAAGACCCGCUGAACUUAA